UAUGACUAACUAAUACUUAACAAAAGCUGAGUACUGAAUAUUUGAUCAAAUAAAAACCUACUAUCUGUCUGAAAUGUAUAACACAUAUCUGUGGACAUUUGACAAAACAACUUCUCUUGAAAUAAGACAAUUUUCCAGGAUUUUUAUCAUAUGUAUGAAUUUUGAAGGCGCGUUUUUCUGUCUUAUCGUUUUUCCUAAGACCGUUAGUUCAAAAAUUAUGGAGUCAUCAAAACAACUUCUUUCGUAAUUUUUCAAAUUUUCGGGGUGACAAAAGAGCUUGUCUCGAAUAAGUUGGAAUUUCAAACGUAAAAUCAUAACGUACAUUUAUCAAAAAAGCUUGUCUCUAUAUAUCGUCUGAGUAAAAUCAGAAAUUGGCGUUUGACAAAAUAACUUCUUUCGAUUGAAGUUCUUUUGUCAAAUGCAUAUCUAAAAAGAAAUGCAUUUCAAGUCAAGAUAAGAUAAAAAAAGGAUUUUUUUCGCACAAAUCAAAUUUGACAAAACAGCUUGUAUGAGGUAAGUUGAUUUUCAGUAAGAAAAAGCAUUUGACAAUAAGUCUUAUUUAUUUGAUUUAUAUUUAUCUAGAAAAGUAAAAUAUUUAAUUUAAAUCAAUUGAUUGGAAAACAUGUCUUUAUUGAUCUGCAUCCACUUUAAACAUGUUUUUUCGCUCUCCUGUAAAAUUUGCUUUUUUGAAAGAGGUUGUUUUGUCAAAUGUCCACAGAUAUGUAUGU